UACGUAGGGUGCAAGCGUUAAUCGAAAUUACUGGGCGUAAAGCGUGCGCAGGCGGCUUGGCAAGACCGAUGUGAAAUCCCCGGGCUUAACCUGGGAAUGGCAUGGGUGACUGCCAAGCUCGAGUGUGUCAGAGGGGGGUAGAAUUCCACGUGUAGCAGUGAAAUGCGUAGAGAUGUGGAGGAAUACCGAUGGCGAAGGCAGCCCCCUGGGAUAACACUGACGCUCAGGCACGAAAGCGUGGGGAGCAAACAGG
rnacentral:rRNA from 1 species